UGCGGCUCAGUUUGAGAAACCGUAAUGUAAAUUUUAGGUUAGGCUCUGUGCCUUCUCAGUAGCAGCCGCUCAAUUUAUCUCUUUCGUUUCGACUCUUGCCGAUUUUUUACAAUAGUUCGAUCGAUCGGUCUUUAAAAUCAUUUUCGAGUAAAGAGAAUAGAUGCGAUGAAGAGUGAAAAUGAAGAGAAGAUCUGAUUGCGAGGUGCUUAAAAUUUCUCUCGCAAUAUGAAGCUCUUUACUAUAUGGUAGUCGAAUUUGGGGGCUUGAAUUUGGCUCGAAUUCAGAGAAGAAAAAGAAGAGAAAAAGAAGGAAGAAGAAGAAGAGAAGGAGGAAGGAGGAGGACUAGAGGGGGCAUAAUCACAGGGGGAGGAGGAGGCAGGGCCGGAGGCGACGGCGGUGGUGCUGCGAUGAUCGGCGGUGGCGAGGCGACGGCGAUGGUGCGGCGACGAUCUCCUCUCCUCUCUCUUUCUCUCUUUCUCCUCAUCUUUCUCUUCUCCUCUCUUCUUCCUCUGCUCUUCUCCUGUGUUCAUCGAAGAAGAAGAAGAAAAGAAAGACAGAAAAGGAAGAGAAAGAAAAGGCAGAAAAAAAAAAAUUGAAACUCAAAAUGACGUCGUUUUGGGUUUCGAGCCGAAUUCGGUCACGAGUCAUUUUCCAUUUGAAAAUAUGAAUUGUAUUUUGAGUUUGUGAAUUUUGAAAUUGUGAUUUGAGUAUAGAAAAUUUGUUUGGUGAA